rnacentral:rRNA from 1 species
UACGAAGGGGGCUAGCGUUGCUCGGAAUUACUGGGCGUAAAGGGCGCGUAGGCGGCCUUCUAAGUCAGACGUGAAAUCCCCAGGCUUAACUUGGGAACUGCGUCUGAUACUGGGAGGCUUGAGUGCGGGAGAGGGAUGUGGAAUUCCAGGUGUAGCGGUGAAAUGCGUAGAUAUCUGGAGGAACACCGGUGGCGAAGGCGGCAUCCUGGACCGACACUGACGCUGAGGCGCGAAAGCCAGGGGAGCAAACGGG